rnacentral:rRNA from 1 species
AUCCUGGCUCAGGAUGAACGCUGGCGGCGUGCUUAACACAUGCAAGUCGAACGAAGUUUUUUGGGAGCUUGCUCUUAAAAAACUUAGUGGCGGACGGGUGAGUAACGCGUGGGUAACCUGCCUUAUACUGUGGAAUAAUCACUGGAAACGGUGACUAAUACCGCAUGUCGUCUUUUGUUAGGGCGAUCCUCCGAAAGAAAAAAGGAAAGUUAUUCGGUUAGUUAAAGAAUGGACCCGGCCGUCUGAUUAAGUCUAGUUUGGUUGGAGAUAACAACG